rnacentral:lncRNA from 1 species
GUGGGGCAGGUCAGAAUUGCGGGCCAGAAAGCCUGGGCUGGCCAGCAGAGGGUGAGAGGCUCAGCUGGGCCUCCCAGGCCUGCUCAGAUCCCUCCCUGCCUGCCCUCCAAGCCAGUCUGAGCAGCCUGGCCACCCCUCCCUGGCUCCUAGAAAUCCCCAGGGGGCGGGAAGCGUGGCCAACAGGGCCCUGAGCUCAGCCUCACCCCUCCCUGGAAGGCAGCGAUCAUGAGACUUUGGAGAAACCCAAAUUAGCCACUCUCCAGGCGAGAGUUUCCUCAUGAAUGUGGUAUCUGUCACAUCCUGCAGUACAGACAAGCCAGGCCUUUCAGACAGCUGUUGCAGCCUCCUCCAGAGCUGAGCUGGGUCCAGGAGAUGUGGAAAAGCUGGUGCUCUGAGAUCUCUGGACCGAGGUAAGUCCCUGCGGGCCCCUCAGCCUCAUCGGACGGUCCUUGAUUGCUGCUCGGCCCUGAGAGCUCCUUGUAAGGAGAGCCCCCACCCACCUUAUGCUGGGAGGAUCUCUUUCAUCUUCCAGCCCUUGAAAGUGCUUAAAACCCUGCUGGAGCAUUGUACCGGAUGGGUCUGGUGCUGAACCUGUCUGUGCAUCUGCUGGUGAGAAACAAAUACAAACACAACUUCUGCGCUGUCCACGCAAAGUGGCCCCAGAGACUCCAUUUUCGUCAGAGCUCAGCAGGACUGCUCUGGGGACAUCUUCUCCAGUGGAGUCUCAGCGUUCGCCCGUCCUACCAACCUGGAAAGCCUCCCACUGGGACCCUGGGAGGUUCCCG